rnacentral:rRNA from 1 species
CCAGAGAACUUUCCAGAGAUGGAUUGGUGCCUUCGGGGAACUCUGAGACAGGUGCUGCAUGGCUGUCGUCAGCUCGUGUUGUGAAAUGUUGGGUUAAGUCCCGCAACGAGCGCAACCCUUAUCCUUUGUUGCCAGCGGUUAGGCCGGGAACUCAAGGGAGACUGCCAGUGAUAAACUGGAGGAAGGUGGGGAUGACGUCAAGUCAUCAUGGCCCUUACGAGUAGGGCUACACACGUGCUACAAUGGCGCAUACAAAGAGAAGCGACCUCGCGAGAGCAAGCGGACCUCAUAAAGUGCGUCGUAGUCCGGAUUGGAGUCUGCAACUCGACUCCAUGAAGUCGGAAUCGCUAGUAAUCGUGGAUCAGAAUGCCACGGUGAAUACGUUCCCGGGCCUUGUACACACCGCCCGUCACACCAUGGGAGUGGGUUGCAAAAGAAGUAGGUAGCUUAACCUUCGGGAGGGCGCUUACCACUUUGUGAUUCAUGACUGGGGUGAAGUCGUAACAAGGUAAGCGUAGUGCU